rnacentral:rRNA from 1 species
ACGGUAGUUACCAGAAAGGGACGGCUAACUACGUGCCAGCAGCCGCGGUAAUACGUAGGUCCCGAGCGUUGUCCGGAUUUAUUGGGCGUAAAGCGAGCGCAGGCGGUUUGAUAAGUCUGAAGUUAAAGGCUGUGGCUCAACCAUAGUUCGCUUUGGAAACUGUCAAACUUGAGUGCAGAAGGGGAGAGUGGAAUUCCAUGUGUAGCGGUGAAAUGCGUAGAUAUAUGGAGGAACACCGGUGGCGAAAGCGGCUCUCUGGUCUGUAACUGACGCUGAGGCUCGAAAGUGUGGGGAUCGAACAGGAUUAGAUACCCUGGUAGUCCACGCCGUAAACGAUGAGUGCUAGGUGUUGGAUCCUUUCCGGGAUUCAGUGCCGCAGCUAACGCAUUAAGCACUCCGCCUGGGGAGUACGACCGCAAGGUUGAAACUCAAAGGAAUUGACGGGGGCCCGCACAAGCGGUGGAGCAUGUGGUUUAAUUCGAAGCAACGCGAAGAACCUUACCGGGUCUUGACAUCCCGAUGCUAUUUCUAGAGAUAGAAAGUUACUUCGGUACAUCGGUGACAGGUGGUGCAUGGUUGUCGUCAGCUCGUGUCGUGAGAUGUUGGGUUAAGUCCCGCAACGAGCGCAACCCCUAUUGUUAGUUGCCAUCAUUCAGUUGGGCACUCUAGCGAGACUGCCGGUAAUAAACCGGAGGAAGGUGGGGAUGACGUCAAAUCAUCAUGCCCCUUAUGACCUGGGCUACACACGUGCUACAAUGGUUGGUACAACGAGUUGCGAGUCGGUGACGGCGAGCUAAUCUCUUAAAGCCAAUCUCAGUUCGGAUUGUAGGCUGCAACUCGCCUACAUGAAGUCGGAAUCGCUAGUAAUCGCGGAUCAGCACGCCGCGGUGAAUACGUUCCCGGGCCUUGUACACACCGCCCGUCACACCACGAGAGUUUGUAACACCCGAAGUCGGUGAGGUAACCUUUUGGAGCCAGCCGCCUAAGGUGGGACAGAUGAUUGGGGUGAAGUCGUAACAAGGUAGCCGUAUCGGAAGGUGCGGCUGGAUCACCUCCUUUCUAA